AGGACCUUGGGUAGAACACUGACAUGUAAACCGCCCUCCUGUUUGAUCAUUAGCUGUUCAGAUUCCAUCCCUGCAAAGCCCACACCAGAAACUCCCCAAGUGCAUGAGUCACGACUUUUCUUCUUCUUGUUCCUAGGGUCUAGGCUGCUGCCAGGCACGUCCCAGGAGGGUUAGCUGGGCAUGCCCUGGCCAAGCUGAAGCUGGGCUGUACUGAGCAGAGCCUCGGGAUGGGGAAGCAGCGCCUGCCGUGGUUGCUGACCUCCAGGUAACCCGCCGUGUGCCCGAUGCUGGGAGCCUCCCCUGAGCGCGCUCGGUUCAGGCUUUCUGCACCUGGCUUCCCCACCAGAGUGCGGUUCCAGAAAACUCUGCCCCAGAGGAAAGCAAGGACGGCGUUCCCUGGGCCCUUCCUAGCGGGACCUAAGCGGAAGAAGCCAGUGCUUAACCAGAGGAGUGGGAUUCAGGUGGAAGAUCCCAGGCACUGGCUCCCCAGCUGGCUCCUCUCAGGGCCCAGCCAGGGCUGCAGCUGCCCCACCUCGAGGCUCACCCCCAGGCAUGCAGAGUGGAAGGCUGGGAUCCCCAACAUCCAUGGGCUCUGCUGGACUUGCUGAAGCUCGGGGCUGGGCAGGCACUCCCAGGACUGGCCCCUUGGCCUGGGCACUGUCAGGGCCCGAGGGGCACAAACCUCACUCCUCACCCAUGGGGCUGUGUAUAGAGGAGCCGUUUCAUGGUUAGAGCUCCAGCACCCAGACAAAUCCCACUGGAAGCCUCAGGGUGGGUAAGCUGCAUGUGCAGAGGUCCCCAAGCCACAUGGUGCCUCUGGGGUGCUGCUGUUGCAGAGCCUCGGGCUGGGAUCCUGACUCAGCUGCUUCCCAGCUGGGCUGCCUUCAUAUUUAAAUUUCAGUUUCUUCUUUUGCAAAGCGUCAAUCGUAAUACCCACGAGUCACCUGUACAGCUCUAGACAGGAUUCCGAGAACAGCACUGGAGUGAGGGAGAUGCGCUGUUCGCCAUGCAGUCAUGCAGGAAAGUCCUACGAAACACAGGUGACGAUCGCCUUCCGUUCCACCGUCCGGCAGAUGUCAGUUCUGACAAAUGUUCAUGUCUUUUCUUCCAGCUUAUUUUUCAUAAUAGAGUGUAAUACAAAUUGGAGCCAUCCUGUACAC